rnacentral:rRNA from 1 species
GACGACCGCUGGCGGCGUGCUUAACACAUGCAAUUCGAUCGGAGCGGCGAACGGGUGAGUAACGCGUGAGUAACUGCCCCCCUCUCUGUGAUAACAGUUGGAAACGGCUGCUAAUACCGGAUAGUGGGGGAUGACUCGCGUCCUAUCAGCUUGUUGGUGGGGUAAUGGCGGACCAAGGCGAAGACGGGUAGCCGGCCUGAUAGGGGGACCGGCCACAUUGGGCUGAGAUACGGCCCAAACUCCUACGGGAGGAAGCAGUGGGGAAUAUUGCACAAUGGGGGAAACGCUGAUGCAGCAACGCGCGUGCGGGAUGACGGCCUUCGGGUUGGAAACCGCUUUCAGCCAUGACGCGGUAGUGGCAGAAGAAGCACCGGCUAACUACGUGCCAGCAGCCGCGGUAAUAC